GGGGUGGCGCGGCCGGGUCCGCGGAGGGGCUGGUGGGCCGAGAGCCCACGAAGGGUUGAAGGUUCUCUAAAAUUAUGCCAUGUUUGGCCUGGGCUGACCUCAGAACCUCCUCUGCUUCACUCGUGCGUCCCGUGCCUGUACUGUGCUCUGGACACAUUUCCUUUUGAGUUUUCCUUACGAUUCACUGAAUGUUUCUAUUAAAGCCGUGCACCGCAUAGUGCUAAAUGCCAAACAGCACUGCCGGGCUCGUAGCAACGCCACGGAGACACGGCAGCAGCGCCCGCUCCCCGGGCCUGUCCCGGCAAGCAGAGCUGAGCGCCUGCUGUGGGGCCGGCCUGGGCCUGGCUCCGUGACAGGGGCAACCCCAACAGACCGAGUCCCACAGCUGACGUCCUAGUGUCACCUCCUCAGCCCUUGGAGCCCCCACGUCCUUCUUUCUCAGUCACAUGCCAUACUGCUAUUUCUUUUUACUGUCUUUUCAAUCGUAGACGGUGCCCAAUGGCUUCCCGCCGUAGAAGAUGAAUAGUUCUCUUAGGAAACCCUUUACUUUGCCUCCUGCAAGCUCCCAAUCGCAUUUCAUCACAAUUUUUAGGUUAUUUGUUUUCCUGGGAGUUCAUAAUUGCCUGUUCUGUUCUUGCAUCAAGCCCGGCACUCGGGUCACCUGAUCCCAGCGCCAGACUGGUCAGAGUUCCUGAAAUCUCCCGGGGCUCCACGUGGGAGCAGAGGAGCAUCCGCCAUCCCGCCAUUGUGCAGAUGGGCUGACUGAGGCACCAAGAAGACAGGGCUGCCAUGCCGCUCUUUACCCGAGAAGGAAACCGAGGCUCCGGGUGUCACCGACGUGCCCAAGGUCACCCACUGCAGAGCUGCCGAGUCCGAUCCGACAGCAGUCUCGCCCGGGAGCGCACCCUUAGUCCCGCCGCGGCACUCGGCCGGCCCGCCCAGCUGGCCCCCGCCGGGCCCCCGGGGACCUCGGC